rnacentral:rRNA from 1 species
UACGUAGGAUGCAAGCGUUGUCCGGAAUUAUUGGGCGUAAAGAGCUCGUAGGCGGUCUGUCGCGUCGGCUGUGAAAACCCGGGGCUCAAUCCCGGGCCUGCAGUCGAUACGGGCAGACUAGAGUGCGGUAGGGGAGACUGGAAUUCCUGGUGUAGCGGUGAAAUGCGCAGAUAUCAGGAGGAACACCGGUGGCGAAGGCGGUUCUCUGGGCAUGUCCUGACGCUGAGGAGCGAAAGUGUGGGGAGCGAACAGG